rnacentral:lncRNA from 1 species
AAUCCAUUUUGGAAUACUACCUGUCAAAUUGUUUCCUCUAAGAUCUAAAGUCACUAUUGAAGAGUUAUUAUAAAAAGCAAGUGAUAGUGUGCCUCUCAGUCUAUUCCCGUGGAGGUGGACAUGCUCUAUGUAUGGUGGAUUAAAAUAUGACGGUAUAGAGCCAGAUAAAUUAUUUUGAGAAAGAUCCAAAAAUUCCAACCUGUUCAACUUUCAAAAUUCCAUUGGAAUAGAACCUUCAAAACCAUUGUUGGACAAAUUUAAUCUCCACAAAAAUGAUGCAUUCCCUAUCCAUAUUGGGAGCUUUCCAUGCAACUUGUUACUGUGAUCAAUUUCGCUUAGUGAAUUUGGAAACUCAAAAAGAAAUGUUCACACAAAGUUUUUUCCAACAUAUGUCUGUCAUUUGUGGGGUCUUGAAUUUAACAUCAAUGGUUGAAUUUUCAUAGCUAAUAUGUACGCAAAAGGCUUAGUUGGUGGAAUUUUAUGUCAGGAAAGCGUUUCUACAAUGACAUAAUUAAUUGCAUUACUUUUCAAAGAUUGACUAUUGACUUUGGUGAGCUUAUUAGGUUAAAUUCUGCUGUUGGUCACUGUUCUUUGUGAAAGUUGUAAAUUUAGUCUAUUUACUUCAAUUUGAUCAAUUUUAAUCCCUAUACAUUUUGAAUUUUAAAAUUUUAGUUGUGACCCAAACAAUAAAGUUAAAUCAAUUUAAUUAAAACCAAUUACUAGUCUUAUAUUAUGCGUACAAUUGUUGAUUUAGUCCAUACUCUCCAAUUGGAUUAUUAUAAGUACCUAUAUUUUUCAAAUUUUGAAAUUUCAGUUUUGAUGCAAAUGACAAUUCUUAGUCCGUUAACUAGAUUUUUAGUAACAUAUGGAAAUAAUAAGAUGAUAUGACAUUACACAUAUGAUAAUAUAUUUGCGUUAAAUAUAUAAACAAUGACAUAAUUAAUUGCAUUAACUUUUAGACGCUGACUAUUGACUUUUGCGUCAACCUUGAGCUUAUAUAGCCCCUACAAUAAUUUAGGUUAUGGAAAUAAUCUUACAAUUAAUGCCUGAGAAAUUAUUAUAGAUCAAUUUAUAGUUUUAAUCCCUAUAAUUACUCAAUUGAAUUAAAGAUUCUGAUUUUCUUAUUUAAUUUGAUAUAUUUUGUUCUCUUAUUAAUGUUAAUGUUAUGGAUUAGUUUUUUUUAAGACAACAUUAUUUUAUUCAAUGAAUAAUACCAUACAAUUCGGGGGGAAAAUAACAAACACUCGUUGUACUCGUUAAAGGACAAGUUCCAUCAACACAACAAAACCUUAAGCUUCAACAUUAAUAGAACAUUAUGGCAUGUUAAAAUUGGCUCUGUCACAACUCAAGCACAACAUAUCAGGAGUUAUUACAAGCACUUAAUAUGGUAAGAAAAUCAACCCCGGAUGGUCCAAAGCGGCGGGCAUAAAUCAGCAAAAGAACUGAGCAUCCACCAAACUAGAGGGGAUGCGGUGACAAAACCAACCCUAAAAUUACUCUCAAAAGCAAGACUAAAAAGCGUACUACAAGAGUAGACAAAAACUUCUAAAAGUAAAGACUUAUUAAACAAUGGAAAAAUAAACAAAAAAAACAUAUAAAACUUAAGAUAACAUGAGUCUAAACCGAGUCAUGAAAUCAUUUAUUAUUUUGAAACUCUCAAAACAUAAACAAAUUAAGAAGUCAACGAAGAGGUACCCACUUUCUAAAAGAAAGUGUUGGUGGUCGGUGGUGUUUCAAUGAUGAUAGGCAUUGUCACCUGUCCAUCACAACUUGUAAAGACAACAAAAAUACCCACAAAAUAAAUCUGUAAAUUGAAAAGAACGAAGACUCAUGGAGUGAAUGAGAAGAAGAAAAAUAAAAAGGGUUAAUAGAGAAAAAGCAGGGCGGUAACUAGUCCAGAGGCUAACACCGCUGCUAGGCUAAAAAAAAAAAGAAGCAAACAUGUUAUGGAUUAGUUAAAAUAACUAACAUCAUUGAAAAUUUCAUUACUUGGCUGAUUUGGAUUUUUUUUUUAAAAAAAAUUGAAACUAGAAACCAUAAAUGAUCUAACAUUUAGAAACCAUAAAUUGGGUUCAAUUGCUUUGCUGUCCAACUCCAUCCAUCUAAAAUCGCAAGGAUGUACCCAUGUUCAAUAUGCAGUACAGACCCAAAAAUUGACCAUAUAAUGUGGCUCAAGAGAAUUUUUGAAUGGUUUUAAAGAAUUAUGAGAACACAAUGAAUUAAGUUAAGGCAUCAUUUAUUCAGCUUGCUAUAAUGCAGGUCAUUCCAAUAAAGAAGCAUUUUUUAACUAUAUUUUCCGUUACCCCAAUAACAAUGGCACAGUAUGUUCUCCGAUGAACAUAGAACUCACCAUUUUUAGGAACACGUGUAGUUGAGGAUGAGAAUUCGGAUCAACUGUAACUUCAAAUGGUGGAAUGAAAACAUUGUCCCGAAUAUUCUGAAAAGAUUUUACAAUUCCCAUUUGCUUGUACACAUUAUACAAUCGUGGUGACUGCAGAAUUAAGUCAAAAUCAAGUGAAGAAGGUUACCUUUGACUUGAGAAAUAUAUCACAGAGAGAGAGAAAGAGAAAACAGUAAUCUGGAAAGAUGAUGCUUAAUAUGGACAUGAUACCCUAGAAACCGAUCGAUCUUAAAUUUUAAUUUCUAAAAUAUUAUUAGCUUGUGCAUACUUUCAAAUACUUUUCAUUAGAGUUACCAUAAGACUAAUUUUUCCAAUUUUAGAUGAUUCAAGAAACUAUUUGGGGGCAAUUCUUAAAUAAACAUGUCCAAACAGUAGUCAUUAACAAGAAAGCAUCCAAGAAAACCAGCAGUUAAUACUUAAAUUAACAUUAUCAAAUGGAGAUGUAAAGAAGAAAGAAUCCUACUGCAAAGCUAGAUAGCAGGAGAAUCACUAGAAUGAAGAGAAAUACUAUUGGCACUAUACCUGGAUUAACCAAACAGUAGUCUCACUAUAAAUUUCAUUGUUAAUAAACCAACUGGCCAAACUGGUCCCAUUCACUUUGUUUCCUUCCAUAUAUGGACACCCUGUACUCUGCCAUCUAGAAAAUAUAUAUAUUAUUCAGUGUAGUCAGAGGCGCAAGGAGCACUCUAGAACGUGCUAGAAUCCUUUUAUUGUACAAGGCACAUGGCGCACAAAAAAAAAAAAAAACUUGCUUAUGUUAAGGCACAUGUAUGCGUGUUUUGGUAUGUCCAUGUCUGUAUAUAUAUAAGCCGAAGAUAUAUAAUUAUAAUAAUAAACUAUAAAAGUGCUCCAGUCUGAAGUACAGAACAUGCCAAAUUUUCUUUCUUUUGUCAACCAUACCAUGCCUGGUGUUGAAUACUCAAAUAUUGAGAAGUAGAGAGUUCGAUAUUAUCCCUUUGUUACAAUUAAGAAACAAUUAAAGAGAUAGUAAAGAGAACUUCAAUUAGAAGGUCUUUUCCCCCAACAUGCACCAGGCAGGCGCUUAGCCUGAAAAGGUCAGAGGCCCUUUUACUGUCUGGUGAUAAGGCAAAAAACAUUGGACAAAGUUGGUGGGAGGAUAGAAUACUAAAAGAGCCCAAUGUUGUCACUUUUCUAAAGUAAGCUCAUAUGCUUUUUUUGUACCCAAACAAUAUCUUACCCUUUAAUUUGUACCUAAAGAAAUUAUUUCUAAUAGAAAGUUUACUUUUGUUAUGAUCAAUGUCGGAGGCCAAAACUGAUUUGGGUCAAUUAGCCGAAACAAUAACAACAAUUCCUAGGCUUCAAUAAAAUAAUUUAGACAACAAAUAAAGCUUUAAGGUUGAGUUUUGCACUGCAGCAGCAUUGGGUUUUACAACGUGAAAACCCACAUUGCAAACAAAUACCAAAGUUUCAGAUCUAUCAUAAUUUAAAAUUCUAACUAAACUAAACGCCAAGAAUGCUGAAUGCCUAAACAAAAAACAUAAGAUUAACCCAAGGACCUAAUUGGGUAUGCUAAAAUUUGUCUUGGAAUGAAAUUAAUAAUAUCCUUUCUAUUUCACUUUUUUUUUUCUUCAUAUGUUUGGUGUGAGCAUGAUACAGAUUAGACUGAUUUUAAAGUAAAAGUAAAACGAUACCAAACCUAAAUAUUCUGGUUUUUUAAAUUUUUUUAUCAGAGCCCUAUUUGAUGCAUUUUUAGUUUUGUUUUCUAAUAACAAAUGGAAAGUUAAUUUAAAAAAAAAACCUAAUCCAAUGAGUUCUUUUAUAGAUAUAAGAUAAGUCCUGCAAAGUUUUUGUUUUUUAGAAAUAAAAUUUUGUUUUUGUUUUUUACUUCUUCAUACCUAUUUUAAUAUCUAAGUUCCGGAUUCCUAACUGCCCUUUCAAUAAUAUAGUAUUCAAGAUUUGAACUUAUAUUUUUCUAUAAAAAUAUAAUGUAUUUUAUUAUUGUAUCCUACAUUCAUUAAUACUUAGUAGAAAUAACCUAAUAAAAUGAUUUUUUUCAUAUAUUAAUAGAGAUAAGAUUCGUGCAAAAUUGUUGGUUGAAAAUUCAUUAGGAAAGGAUGAUUGUAUGAAUGUACCAUCAUUAUAAGUGAGCUCAACGAUAAGCCUCCUAUCAAUCACCAGUGUGCAGAAAACAUUUGAAAUCGAAACACCCUUUCAUACAUCAUACAUCAUCAUAAGUGCGCUCAACGAUAAGCCUCCAAUCAAUCACCAGUCUACAGAAAACAUUUGAAAUCGAAACACCCCGGACAUCUCCAACAAAUCUGCCAUAACGUUAGCAUCUCUUCCAUUUUUUCUAAACAAAACCUCACUAAGCUCAUCAAAUGUGCCAAUAUUUCCAAGGCCUAGAUUUCUCAUUGAUACACCAAGAAAGCUCGACUAUGGAGUCGGAUUCAACCAUAAGCUUUCAGUCUAUAAUCCACUAGGAAUCCAAAAAGAAACACUCUCGAACACCUAAAGAACCUGAAACAUAGCAAUGACAUGACCCUUUGAAUUUCUAAGAACCUCACCUCACCACGUCGAGCUAAGAUUACCUAAUGUCUAACCUUCACGGUUAAACUUUUACCAGCCUUCACCUUACUCUUGAUAUGAUGACUAUGGAUACUCCCUUCACAAUCCCACAAACACUCCCACCAAAUUGACUCAACAAAAUUUGCACCUAUAGGUUUUCUGUUUAUAUUUGAUUUUGUUGACACAUUGCCUAAAACUACUCAUGAUCCCUCUCCAACCUAUAAAUACGAGGAUAAUGCGCUUCAACGCGCUCAAACCCACGUCCUCCUGCAUUAGCAACAAUACUCAUGUCAAUCGAGUUAAAACACAAUCAAUAGAUUUUUUUAAAAAAAAAAUCUUUAAAUGUUAUAUUAUUAUAUAAGAAAUUGAAACAUGACUUCCGUAGGUUUUAAAUCUAAUGUUGACACUAAUCUUGAAUAAGUCAUUCCACUCCCAUCUUAACUAAUGGCCAAAGAGAUAUCAAAAGUGGGAGAUGGCCAUAAAAUUGUGUAGUUUGGGUUAUAAAAUUUUUGGGCAAACUACAUAUAUUAUCAUUUAAUUAUAAUUUUUUUUUCAAUUUAAACACUUAAAGUAAAAAAUUUGUAAUUUAAGCACCCACAUUAUAUAGUUUAGUUAUUUUGAUCACUCCAGUUAAAAUAAAAAAUGGCAAACUGAAGCGACAGUUAAAAAAAUUGUAUAAUAACAAAUUUAACCCUCAAAUUUUAUAUAUUAUAUCAAUUACAUAUUACAACUAAUUUUAUAAUUAUUGAUAUUGAAUAUGUCCCUCACUACGCUAGGGAUUUUUUUUUAUAAUUUGUAUUUAAUUAAUAUUUAAAAUUAAUUUCAAAAUAUUUGAAAAUUUUAUAAUUAUUUGGUGUUAGUCCCUUUAUUAUACCCAAAUUUAGGAUUAAGCCCCUAUACUUUAAUUUUGACAUAAUUUGUUUCUUUCACUUUUAUAAUCUCAUUAAUUAUUUCAAGUAACUAACACUUUUAACAAUAUUGCCAAAUAAAAUAAUGUCAUAUUUUUUUUUCUUAAAGCCAUCACUUCUAACUAAAUCAUGACUUAAUCACUUUCUAAUUAAUCAUACUAACUUAGAUUUUUCUUUUGUUGGAAUCAGUACGUUUAAGGAAAACCCACCUUAACAUUUGUAGAUGUCUUCAACAAUUUCCUAAGCACGAUACAAUAAAGCUUGGUGUGUAUAAUUUUGUUUUAUGGAAGCUCCAAAUUAUGUUGAUUCUUGAAUGAUACGGUCUGCAUGGGUUUGUUUUGGGUGCUAUUAGUGUACUAGCACAGUUUGUAGAGGAUAAAUAUGGGAGAUUAGUAGAAAAUUCUGAUUAUGUUUUACAUGUGCAACAAGAUAAGCUAUUGGCUUCUUGGUUACUUUCAACUGUUAGUGAUGAAAUCCUAGCCUAUCUUACUAGUGCUCGUACUAGUUAUUAUAUGUGGGAAACUAUUGAAAAGAAGGGUUGCGACUAAGUCCACGGUAAAAUUGUCCAGUCAUGUGUUGUAUUCACAGAAAAAGGGUCAUUUGUUUGUUAAAGAAUAUUUGUCUAAGAUCAAGUCCAUGUGUGAUAUGUUGGUUGCAACGGGUUGUUUGAUUUCAAAUCAAGAAAUGGUUAGCAUCAUUCUUGCAAGGUUGCCAGUUGAGUGUGAAUCAGUAUGGGUAGUAGCUUCAGCUACUGGUGUGUCACUUGAUCUGUUGAUUGAGAUGCUGCUUGAUUGUGAAGCUCGAAAAUUAAGUUCUUGAAUAGUGUUCUCGUACAACCUAACAUAGCUAGUAAACAAGAUUGUGAUGAGGGUGAUCGGACCAAGGGUUCUGAUUAUAACAGUGGCUAUCAAGGGAACAAACAGACAUAUAUAGGUGGUUUUCAAUGCAAUAGAGGUUUCCAUCGAGGUUGAGGCCGUGAGGGUUGUUUUUCAAACAAUCGGCCCCAAUGCCAGUUGUGUGGUAAAAUUGGACACAUUGUCCAAAAGUGUUAUUACCGUUUUGAUGAAAGUUUUGCAGGUAUUGCUAGGAUGGUAAUAUGGUAUAGUGGGCUGCAUCUUGAUUGUUUGUUUCUCAUGCUGAGGCUAUAUUUUAAUCAUACCUAUUAUUGUUUCUUGUGUCCAGCUAUUUCAUCAUUUGCAGGCUGUUUCACUAAUCGCAUCCUAUUUACAAGUUCCCUUGUGUUAUCCUCUGCGCUUGGGUGGUUCUCGCUCAUAUAUUAAUGACCAUGCGUCUUCAAUAGACCAUGCAUCUUCUGAUUUGUCAUUGUAUACAACACUUUCAGCAAAUGUAAAGCCGGUAGAAUUUCCGCUGUUUUUAGAAGGUCAAGACACGACAAGAGCAGCAUAUGCUGUGUUCUUGUUAAACAAGGUAAGCUUUUGCAUAUUAGUAAUUUUUUUUUCCAAGAUGAAUUAUUCUCCUUUGGCAUUUUAUAUUAUAUAAUUAGUCACUACAAAACAUAAAUAAAUAAUAAUACUCCAUUUUUACAAUAAAAAUUCACUAAAGAAAAUACAUUUGAAGUCUGUCAUUGCUUUUUCGAAUAAGAGUCGGUCAAGAAAGUUAUGCGCAAAUACUUAUAUCUUUAUUUCAGAUGCUUUCAAUUCUAUUGUCACUUAAAUCCAAGUACUUUAAAUUUGUCAAAUUAUUCAAUUUUGAAAUUCAAUCCCAAAUAUUGAUCAAUUAUAUAUAUUCAUGAUAUGAUAAAAGCAAAGACAUCUUGCAACAUUAACUUUCCCUUAAACAAAAAUUGGUUUUAAAGUAAAAAAGAAACAUAUAAAACCAGUCUACCUUUAAUAUGAAUCAAUAUAUAAACACUAUACUUAUACCUUGGUUUGAGAUGCUUUCAAUAUUGUUGUCGCUUAAAUACAAGUAUUUCAAGUUUGUCAAAUCAUUCAAUCCCAAAUAUUGAUUAGUUAUAUAUGAUAUGAUAAAAUCAAACUUGAACAUGCAUUGAUUUUUAAAGUUGAAAAUUACUUGUUAAUUUUUUUUCUUUCUUACCUAUAAGAAAAUUUUACUAAAGUAAAAAUGGAAUUACAACGGAUAAAAAGAAUGGAAAACUAGGUACCAGGCCUAGAAGACCAUCCUCAAACUCCACUAUACAAAUAAAAACUAACACCAGACCAAACUUAAUUUACCUCUUAGAUGACUUGAUCCUUCAAAUUGGUUGUAUGAUAGAUCUAAAUACCGGAGAGAUGAAAGCUCACUCAAAGAUAACAAAAUGCUAUCAUUCAAGUAAUUGUAACUUAAGUCAAGGAUCUCCAAAUUACUCAAUGUGAAUGAUAGUUUUCCAAAGCCUGUAGAAGUGUUCUUUUAAAUAUAUACAAGCAGUUAGUGACUUUUCUUCAAUAAAAUAAAAUAUAAGUAAUUGUAAAUUAACAAUGAUGAGAAUAGUGGAAUAGUAAAAGAUGUAAUUAAGGAAAAAAAUAAAGGCACGACCUUCAUUUUCAAGGUUACCACCUAUGGCAUUUCCCGACAAAUAAAGUCUCUUCAAUUCCUCAAAAGGAAGAAACAUAGAGGCAUUGAGAUACCAGGCAAUGAGAUUCCUAUUAUCCAUGCUGUAUUCCCUAUUGUCUUCCCAUUUUGUAGAAAUAAGGGAGAGUUGUAUGAGUCUCCUAGUGGUGGUGUUACACUCAACUCCUUCCCAUUUACAACAAUCUGAACCCUUCACCUCAACCCAACUUUGCAAUGGAUUCCGAUAAACGAAGAAAGGCUUGAGAUGCAAGAGAGUGAUUCUCUCAUGCUCCAAACAAGCAUCAGUAGUACACCAUCUGCAUCCUUCUAACACCAACAACAUUAUUGCCAUCCUAAUAAACUAUAACCAUUUCCACUCCAUCAUCAUCAUCUCUCUGUUUGGUAUAUAUAUGGACCACAAUUCAAGUUUCAUGCUUAUAAUUAUACCAAAUCAAAGUUCAUGUAUCAAAUUGCACAUUAAAUCAAAAUUUAUGUAUACAUUUGAUAUUUAUCUCAUUUAUGGGAGAUUAACUUUCUAAUGGUAUUGUUUUGUUUACAUUAAUCCAAAUAAUUGGAAAUGAUGAAUUAGUUUAACGCAGAUUGUAAUUCUAUUAAUGUUUCUUCUCAAACUUUUGGUUGCUCUUAUUUACAUGUUUUAUUAAUUGAUAGAUUUAAAUUCUUGGAAUAUAUUCUGUUAGAAUUAAGUGCUCCGAAUUCUUAUUUAAAUAAAAUACAGUGUUAAAAUAAAAGAAAAGUAAAAUCCCUAUAGAAUUAUACUUCUUUUAUUUUUAUUUUAGAAUAAGGUUUUUUAAAUCUUUUAAACUCCAUUUAUUUGAUAUUGAUUAGAAUAAAGAGUUUCACUCCUAUUAGAAUAAAGUUUUACAAGCCUAUAAAUAGACAUAGUCUACUCCUCUUGUAAUUAAUUCAAAUUCGACAUAGUGAAUUUUCUUCUCCUCUGCCAGUGGUUUUUUCCCGAAAGGGUUUCCACGUAAAAUUUGUGUGUUCUUUAUUUUUCUAUUUCUAUUUUCUUUGCGAUAUAUUGUCAUUACCGACAUUUAUUUUCACAAAUUGGUAUUCGAGCUUCUGGGUUGUUCAUCUCAAUCACGGUAAUGAUGUCUUUGAAGUAUGAAAUUCUACUGUUGGAUCGCAACACCAGAUUCGCAUUUUGGUAGAUAAAGAUGCAGAUAGUUCUUGCACAGAUGAACUUAGAGGAAGCCCUGCUAAGGUUAGAUAAGAUGCCUUUAACAUUGAUGGAGGAAGAGAAGAAGCACAAGGAUUGAAAGGCGUUAACACAAUUACAUCUGCAUUUGUCUAACAAAAUUUUACAGGAUGUGAUAAAGGAGAAUGCCGCCACUUGAUUAUGGAAAAGGUUGGAACAACUAUGUAUGUCGAAAACUCUAACUAGUAAGCUGCAUAUGAAGCAACGUCUUUAUGCUCAUUGUUUGGAGGAAGGUGCGUCUGUUCAUGAACACUUGACAGUGUUUAAAGAAAUUCUCUCAAAUUUGGAGGCCAUGGAGGUUCAGUAUGAUAAGGAAGAUUUAGGGUUGAUUCUACUUUGUUCGUUGCCCCGUCUUAUUCAACCUUUAGAGAUAAAAUUUUCUAUAGUCGCGAGUCUCUCACAGUUGAUGAGGUUUAUAAUUCUUUAACCUCGUAUGAUAAGAUGAUGCAUCUUAUAGUUAAAACUGACUCUCAAUGAGAGGGUCUCAUUAUUCGUGAGAGAUAAGAUCGGAAUGCUAAUGAUGAUCGUGGAAGGACACAGGAACAGAAUCCUCACAGCAAAUCUAAAAGUAGAUCGAAGUUUUCAAACAGAGGUAAAACUUGUAACUUCUGCAAGAAGAAAUGGCACAUUCAAUCUGAGUGCUAUAAGCUACAGAACAAGAUCAAAAGGGAGACUGUGAAUCAAAAUAGAAAACAACCAAAAAAUUCGGUAAGGCUAAUGUUGUAGAAGACUACAGUGAUGGUGAACUUCUAGUCGCUUCUGUCAAUAAUUUUAAAGUGAGUGAGGAGUGGAUCCUUGAUUCGGGUUGCACUUUCCACAUGAGUCCCAAUAGGGAUUGGUUUACAACUUACGAAAUAGUGUCUGAAGGUGUUGUUUUAAUGGGAAAUAACACUUCAUGUAAAAUUGCAAGUGUUGGAACAAUUAAAGUUAAGAUGCUUGAUGGAGUUGUCAGAACACUUAGUGACGUACGACAUGUUCCAAAAUUGAAGAGAAAUUUAAUUUCAUUGAGUACUCUUGAUUCAAAAGGGUACAAAUACACAGCUAAAAGUGGUGUUUUGAAGAUUUCUAAAAGUUCCCUCAUUGUGAAGAAAGGACAGAGAAAGACUGCCAAGUUUUAUGUUUUGCAGGGUUCUAUUGUUACUGAUGAUGCAGCUGUCGUAUCCUCUUCCUUGUCAGAUGAUGAUAUUGCUAAACUUUGGCAUAUGCGCGUAGGGCAUAUGAGUGAGAAUGACAUGGCAGAAUUAAGCAAAAGAGGACUUCUUGAUGGGCAAUGAAUUUGCAAACUAAAGUUCUGUGAGCACUACAUUUUUGGGAAGCAAAAGAGAGUUUGAUUCACCAAAGGAAUCCAUAACACAAAGGGAAUGUUGGAGUAUAUUCAUUCUGAUCUGUGGGGGUCAUCCAAAGUACCUUUGAGAGGUGGAGCUAAUUAUAUGCUAACUUUUAUUGAUGAUUUUUCUAGAAAAGUGUGGGCGCUCUUCCUGAAGCAGAAAAGCGAUGUGUUUUUUGUAUUGAAGUCUUGGAAAACCAUGAUUGAAAAAAAAAGGGAAAGCAAAUAAAACACCUCUGCACAGACAAUGGCUUAGAGUUCUGUUCUGAUGAGUUUAAUAAAUUGUGCAAGUUAGAAGGGAUCAUGAGACACUUGAUAGUUCGUCAUACUCCACAGGAAAACGGCGUUACGGAACAAAUGAACAGAACGAUCAUGGAGAAGGUUCGAUGUAUGUUGUCAAAUACCAACUUACCAAAGUCAUUUUGGGCCGAAACAGCCUCUACUGCAUUUUUUUAAUCAACUGAUCUCUAUCCAUUGCCAUUGAGAAAAAUACUCCACAAGAGGUAUGAUCUUGUAAUCCUGCUGACUAUUCUGAUUUAAAGAUUUUUUGUUGUCCUGCGUGUGCUCAUGUUGAUAAUGAAAAAUUGGAACCGAGAUCCAUUAAAUUUGUUUUUCUUGGUUAUAAAGCUGGUGUAAAAGGGUAUAAGUUAUGAUGUCCUGAAAAUAGAAAAGUUGUGAUUAGUAGAUAUGUUGUUUUUGAUGAAACUGUUAUGCUACCUAACGUAUCUCUUAAAGAAUCUCCCAAUAAAGAAAAUCAAAAGCAGGUGGAGCAUCAGAUUAAUACAGAAUCUACAAUAGAGUCGACUACUGAAGCCAGUACAAAAAUUUAAAAUAGAGUUGCUCCUUCACCAUAAUACUCUACAUAAUACUCUAUCGCCAAAAAUAGAACUAGAAGAGACAUUAAACCUCCAAAGAAGUAUGUCGAGGUUGAUCUAGUUGCUUAUGCUUUAAAUGUGGCUAAAGAUAUAGAUGCAAAACAAGAGCCAUCUAAUUAUUCUGAGGCGGUUAGUUGUGAAGACUCAGAAAAGUGGAUGUUUGCUAUACAAGAGGAGAUGGAAUCACUCCACAAAAAUAAAACAUGGGAUCUUGUGAAACUUCCUAAAGGUAAAAAGGUUGUUCGUUGUAAAUGGGUGUUUAAAAAGAAAGAAUGGACUCCAAGAGUUGAAGAACCCAGAUAUAAAGCAAAGUUUGUUGCAAAGGGUUACAGUCAAAUUCCAGGAGUGGACUUCACAGAUGUGUUCUCUCCAGUUGUGAAGCAUAGUUUGAUUCGAGCUUUACUUGGUAUUGUGGCCAUACAUGAUUUGGAGCUUGAGCAGUUAGAUGUAAAAAUUGCAUUUUUGCAUAGAGAACUUAAAAAGGAUAUUUACAUGCAACAACCAGAGGGUUUUACAGUCUCAAAAAAAGAGGACUAUGUUUGCUUACUGAAAAAGUCUCUUUACAGUUUGAAACAGUCACCAAGACAGUGGUACAAGAGGUUUGAUUCCUUUAUGACUUCUCAUGAUUUUAAAAGAAGUAGCUUUGACAGUUGUGCUUACUUUAAGAAAAACAAUGAUGGUUCUUUUGUGUAUCCACUCUUUUAUGGUGAUGAAAUGUUGAUAGCAGCGAAAGAUAAAUGAGGGAUAAGAAAGGUCAAAGCCCAACUAAGUGAAGAAUUUGAUAUGAAAGAUUUGGGACCAACAAAGAAGAUACUUGGUAUGGAGAAUCUCAAAGAUAGAAAAGCAAGUAAAUUAUACCUAAGUCAAAAGGGGUACAUUGAGAAAGUUCUUUGCAGAUUUAAUAUGCAGAAUGCUAAGCCUGUUAGUACUCAUUUAGCAGCCCAUUUCAGACUUUCAUCGGCUUUGUCUCCACAAUCAGAUGAUGAGAUUGAGUACAUGUCACAUGUUCCAUACUCUAGUGCAGUGGGAUCUCUCAUGUAUGCUAUGGUUUGUUCACGUUCAGAUUUAUCAUAUGUAGUCAGUGCAGUUAGCAGAUACUUGGUGAAUCGGUAAAGAACAUUGGAAAGUAGUUCACUGGAUUUUAAGAUACUUACGAGGCACUACUGAUGUUUUCUUACAGUUUGGAAAAACUAGAGAUAAAGUCAUUGGGUAUGUUGAUGCUGAUUUUGCUGGAGACUUUGAUAGAAGAAGAUCUCUCACAGGUUAUGUCUUUACAAUCGGAGGUUGUGCAAUCAGUUGGAAAGCCACUUUGCAAACUACAGUUGCUUUGUCUACCACUGAAGCUAAGUACAUGGCGAUUACUGAGGCUUGUAAAGAAGCUAUUUGGUUGAAGGGACUCUUUAGUGAACUCAAUAAAGACCUUCAAAUCAAUACAGUAUUUUGCGAUAGUCAAAGUGCUAUCUUCCUUACAAAAGAUCAAAUGUUUCAUGAGAGAACAAAACACAUUGAUGUUCGAUAUCAUUUUGUUCGUGAUAUUAUUACUUGUGGUGAUAUUGUUGUGAGCAAAAUUAGUACUCAUGAAAAUCCUGCAGAUAUGAUGACUAAGUCACUUCCUAUAACCAAGUUUGAGCAUUACUUAGACUUGGUUGGUGUUCAUUGUUGAAGUUAAACCCUUAAGGGAUUUUAUGGAAUAGGUGGAAAACUUGAUUGUUGAGAGUUUGCGAUGAAGAACUUGUUCAUUAAGAAUUCGUGUCAAUGUGGAGAUUGUUAGAAUUAAGUGACCCAAAUCCUUAUUUAAAUAAAAUACAGUGGUAAAAUAAAAUAAAAGUAAAAUCCCUAUAGAAUUAUACUUUUUUUAUUUUAUUUUAGAAUAAGGUUUUUUAAAUCUUAUUAAACUCCAUCUAUUUGAUAUUGAUUAGAAUAAAGAGUUUCACUCCUAUUAGAAUAAGGUUUUACAAGCCUAUAAAUAGACAUAGUCUACUCCUCUUGUAAUUAAUUCGAAUUUGACAUGGUGAAUUUUCUUCUCCUCUGCCCGUGGUUUUUCCCGAAAGGGUUUCCACGUAAAAUCUGUGUGUUCUUUAUUUUUUUCUAUUUUUAUUUUCUUUAUGAUAUAUUGUCAUUAUCAACAUUUAUUUUCACAUAUUCUAAUUAAUUAGAUAUUUCCUUCCUUCCAAAAGCCUUUCAAAAUAGGUUUAGUUUGACCAAGAUACUCUUGUAGAAAAUUUUAGUUUUGUGGGAAAAAGAAAAACUAGAUUUACUUUUUUAUUCUAAUUGGUUUCAUAUGCAAGGUAUAUAAACUUUUGUGUCGCUUCAAUUUUUUUCCAACAUAUGUAUGUGAUUUGUGGGGUUUCAAUUUUGAAUUUUUUUUAUAAUUUAAUUAAAUUAUGAAAGUAUUUGAAAGUUUUUAAGUUGAUACAAUGUUUAGAACUACCCCAACACCCACCCAAUCCUUAAAUAGGAGGAUAAACAUGCUUCAGCACGCUCGAACUCACAUUCUCCUACAUAUAUGAUAAUACUAAUGCCAACCGAGUUAAGACUCAACUAGUCUUGAAUUUUGAAUUUUACUUCUUAUACAUUUUGAAUUUUGAAAUUUUAAUUUUGCCCAAACAGUAGCAGUUAAAUUAAUUUGAUUAAAUUUAAUUACUAGACCUAUAUUAUGCGUACGAUUAUUGAUUAGUCUAUACUCUCCAAUUGGGCAAUUCUAAGUACCUAUACUUUCUGAAUUUUGAAAUUUCAGUCUUGAUGCAAAUGACAAUUGUUAAUCCAUUAAUUAGAUUUUUAGCGAGUAAUAUGUGAAAAUAACAAACUGGCAUAACAUUACACAUAUGAUAAUAUGUUUAUUGCAAUGCAUUUGAAAAUAGCCGAAUUUAACAAAUAUCGUUAGUGAGGAUUGGAAAUUAGAGUCUAGGGAUUAAAUCCACAAGUUCAGUAAAUUACAAGAACUAAUGGUAGAAUUUAACCUUUAUAUAACCUUUAAAUUCUAACCGUGGUUUGCACACUACUCAGCCGACCAUUGGCUGUGGUGGGAACACAAACUGUUUGAAUUUGACAUCAGUGAUUGAAUUUUCAUAGCUAAUAUGUACGUUCCUUCAAUUUCUCCAUAGGAGGGAGUGGAAUACAUUAUAUAAGGUAAUAUUUGAUAUAUUCGGUAAAUGAAUAAUUGCAAGAUAUCUCAUUAUCUAGUAAAAUAAAUAAUGAAAAUUUUAUAAAUAAAUAUUAAUAAUUUUAUCUAAUAAUAAUUAAUUACUUUUUGGGACAGACUUUUUUUAGCAAAUAGAUAUUUUAUUGGCUGACAAAGUAGUAUAAAAUGAACUCCCACAGUCGCAGCAAACAUUACAACCAAAAGUAUCAGUUAGCUAAUUAGCAAGGGAGUGAGCAAGCCAUUCGCCUCACGAAACACAUUAACAAAAGAUCAAGAGCUUAAUACAGUCAAUAAAUCCAUCGAUUUCAUCGACAACCUUCUAAUACUUCCCAUGUGACAGUCCUUUAUUACUCACCCUUAUAACCCAAGACAAAUAUGACGACAAUUGUCGGAUGCUUUAAAAACUUUUUUCAAAAUACCAUAAUUUUGUACGAAGUAGUUGGAGGAAAUAAAAUAUUAUUACAUAUAUCAACAACGACCUAGUAAGUUGCAUUAACUUUUAGAUGUUGACUAUUGGCUUUUGCAUCAACCUUGAACUUACGUAGGCCCCCUACAGUAAUUUAGGUUAUGGAAAUAAUCUUGCAAAUAAUGCUUGAGACAUCAUUAUACAUCAAUUUACAGUUUUAAUUCUUAUACUUACUCAAUUGGAAUAAAGAUUUAGUUUUUCAUUUUCUUUUGAUACAAUGUCUAGAAUUACCCAUAGCCCUUUUCCAACCUUUAAAUAAGUGAAUAAUGUGCUUCAGCGUACUCGAACUCACAUCCUCUUACAUUGACAACAUUGUUGAUGCCAAUUAGUUAAUGUUAAUGCUAUACUUUAGUUAAAAAUAACUAACAUCAUUAAAAAAUUCAUUAGUUGGCUCAUGUGGAUUUUUUUUUUUCAAAAAAUUUGAAACUAAAAACCAUAAAUUCUUUAAGACUUAAAAAUUAAAAUUAGUGGUUAUUAAAAAAGAGCUAUUUUUUAUUAAAUUAUUAUUUAAAAUAAAUUUAUCUCAUCAUAAUGAUAUGAUUUUUUUUCUUUAAAAAAUCCACAUUAACCGACUAGUAGAAUUGUAUAAAGCUACCACCAAUCUCUUGGCAUGAUGGCAAAAGAUUCAGAGGUAGAGCCAGAAACUUUUUUGAGGGGCGUGAAUAAAGUUUUAUAUUUUUAUAAUAGUAAAAGUGAAAUUUUAUUAUUUUAAUAGUUUAUAUCUUUAUAAUUUUUAAAGGAUUAAAUAAAUUUUUUCUUAUUUUUGAGGGAUAAAGUAUAAGUUUAUCAUAUACUAAUUUUAAAAUUAUAAAAAGACUAAAGGUGAAAAUUUUCAUUUUAGGGGGGUGGGGCCCUGCCAGGUCCCCUUGGCUUCGCCUUGAUAAAAGUAUUAUGUUAUACGUAUAAAGUUUGAAUUUAAUCCCAAUCAAUCUCAUUUCUUAUCCCUAAUUAUAAAAUAAUAAAAUAAAUAGAGUAAUUGAUGUGAGGAGGUAAGUGUAAUAGGCCAAUUUUGACCUGGGCUAGAUUUCAAAACAAAACCCAAACCAAAUAAUAAAAGAGUCCAAGAUAAUUAAAACAAUCAAUUCAUUUUACAAACAAACCCAAAUUAGCAGCCCAAAUACAAAUUAAAACCCAAUAACCCAAAACUAGCCUUAGCCCAAUUAGCUCAACACUUAAACACAACAACAAAAAAACCCUAUCCCCCCAAGCCUCCAACGCUGCGUGACCACCUGCGCCGCACGCCAUCGUUGCCGCUCGAGGCUCGCCUAUCACCGACCAUCCACGCGUCUGACACUUGCAAAACCAAGGCAACACGUAACAACAAAGGCCAAAUAGAGGAAACAACAAGGAAACAUACAAAAAAGGAAGAAACAAAUAGUUUUGAUUCGGCUAUAAAAGCCCGAAUCUCACCCUUGUAAUUUUUUUGCGAACAUUAGAAAAUAAAAAAACAAAAACAACACUUUCAAGGUGAAUUUCUACUUUUAUUUCUAUUUUAAAUACCCAUUUGAUUCUAUAUUCAUAUUUUUAUUUUAUUUUUUUAUAUAUAUACGAAAAUAAUAAAAUAAAAAAAGGAAGAAAGGGCUCACCAGAGACGCCCCAUGACCGUGCCGUCAAAGGGCUCUUCUUCAUUGUUGCCAUCGGAUCUGAGAAGGGGUCGAGAGUCUUCCUCUUUCAUUUUUUUGGGUCGAGAGGGCUGGGCUUCCAAGGGAGCUGCGAAACGGGGGCUAAAAACGCCCUUUUGCGCAACACCGACCACCGCCCACGAUAGCGCUGCAGCGGCGACCAUGGCCGGCCAAGGGGUGGGCUGAGAGAGAGACCAAGAGAGACUGAGAGAGUUUUCUUUUUUUUAGAAAAAUGAAAGUUGAACCGUUUUUUUCUUCUUUUUUUUUGCUAUUUAUAUAGGGUAUAAUACGACGCCGUUUUGGACUUAAACACCAAUGGCCAAAACGACGCCGUUUUGCAUCAGACCCGAAAAUUGACCCGAAUGCGGCCAGGAUCUACGCGUUUUAGCUUUGAGGAGCUAUUUGCAUAUUCAGCCCUUCCGCUUUUGUAGUAUAGUGCAAUCUGGUCCUUGUUGUUUUUAUAUUUUGGCCGCAUAAUUUUUUGAUUGUUUUACUUUGGUCCGAGCUGAAACGCUGCGCAUGGGGGCUGGGAAUAUUGCCCAGUCGGUCCCUCAUUCCUUAAGCGCGCUCUAUUUCAGUCCCUAACAACCUUUUUUUUUAUUUGUAAUUUGAACCCCAAAUUCUGGGUCGAUUUUAGUAUCAUCCUUAGUCCAUUUAAUUUAUUUGUUCAUUAUUUUUUAUUUAAAAAACUCUUUUAUUAUUAUUUGUUUUAAGUUUUUUUAUUUAUCAUUUAUUUUAAAUUGUUUUACAUACUAUUUAUUUAAAAUUUUUAUAUAUUAUUCAUUUUAAACCAUUAUAUGUACAUUAUCUUUUAAAUUUUUAUAUACAUAUAUAUUUUUAAAAAAAACUGUUGUAUUUUUCUUAUUUAUUUAUUUUAAACUGUUAUUAUUAUUCAUUUUAAGUUUUUAUAUACUGUUUAUUUGAAGCCUGUUAUUAUUUAUUUUUGAAUUGUUCUUAUAAAUUAUUUACUUUAAAUUAUUAUUUACUUUGAAAUUUUUUUUGCAUAUUAUUUUGUUUUGUUUUUUUUAUUGUUAAUAUUAGUAUAAAAAAUUAUAUACAUUGUGUGAUUAUUACAGUCAUGUGUACUAUAAUUAGUUUCUUCGUGCUUUCAUAUUAUUAUCACUCAUUAACAUAACAUUUUUUUCAUAAAUUGUUAUUUUAUGUUCUAUGUUAUCAUUCCAUUUCACUUCAUCACUUCGACAGUUGCAUUCAAUUUGUAUUUACCCAUAAUAAACCGUUCUAUUUUGUCACAAAUAAAACAAAUGCACCUCGUUCAAGCAUUGUACUCACAAUUAUUCAAAACAGGGAAAAGUUUUAAAAUAAGGUAAUAUUUCGCGUUUUGGAGAUUCGAGAAAUUAUUCUCUAACUUACAGGGUUUCAAUUUUCUCGUUGAACCUAAAUAGCAAAAUAUCCUUCUAAUUUUCAAAAUUUACGAAAUUCCAAUAAAGUUAAAGGCUAACUUAUUCUCAAGGGUUCGAAGUGUCGUGUCCUAACUUACGGGAUGUGACAUUUAUUAUCUCGAGACGAGAGGAUCUUUGACAUUCGUUUCAAUUUAUUCAAGCAAAUUCUUUUAAAUUAAAAUAGCGUUAACAAAAGGGGGGUCGUGUUUUAAAUUCUUUCGAAGUUUUUCAAUUUUUAACAUUUAGACAUUAAUUAAUCAAUUGAGUACCAAUUUUGGGCGUGACGAGGGUGCUAAUCCUUCCUCGCAUGUAACUGACUCCCGAAUCUGUUUUCUCAAAUUUCAUAGACCAAAAUCACUGUUUUGAUAAAUUAAAAUAUUUUAUUAAAACAACUAAAUUAUGAGGUGACCUAAUCACACCUCAUAAAAAAAAGGAUUGGUGGCAACUCCCGUUUUAAUUUCUAUUUUCAAACCAACGUCGACCCUUUUAAAAAAAUGGCUUCAAUAUUAAGUUAUAAGUUGAAUGAAUUAAAAAUAUGUGAAAAGUGUAAAUAGAGACUCUUCAAUCUCAUUUCCUCUAAUGCUCUUUUUUUAAAAAUUUUUUUAAAAUUUUUUAUGUACCUUUUAAAUAGUUAAUGAAAAUAAAAGUAUUUUGAUAAUUUUCACUUCGAAAUGCAAAAGCCAAAAACAGUUUUUGACUACAAAAGCGGUGUGUUCUUCAUCACUUCUCAGUGGAAAAACACUUCUGCAGUGUAAAAAAACUUUUAACCCAAAACGGCUUUUUCACCACAAUAGAGAAUGCACCCUAAAAUUGUAAAUAGAAAAAAGAAGGAUCAAACAUUGUUUCUACCCUGUUUUUGUCUCCUCUUUGAAAAUACUUUCCAAAAAGUUUUAUCAUUUUUUUUUCUGUUUACAAAUUCCUUAUAGAAGCGCUUUCUUUUGAUCCACUUGCAUCAUUGUAAUAAGUUUGCAUUGCAUUCUAACUUUCUAUGUUGAUUACAGUUUAUUAAGUUUUCUGUUGGAUCUUAUAGUCAAAUUCCUGUACAUCAUGUAUGUUAAUUUGCUUAGCCCUGAUAAAUGUUAGAUAUAGGAUUAUCAGUGUCGAAACCACUUUUUUGGCGGACAAAAAUUAGUUGUUGACUUUAAAAACGAAAAUUGGAGUCGCCAUCGAUCCUUUAUUGGGGUGUGAUCGGCUCACCUUAAAAACGAUUUUGGUCUGCAAAAUUUGAGAAAACAGGUUCGGGAGUCGGUUACGCACGAGAAAGAGUUAGCACCCUCUUAACACCCAAAAUUGGUACCGAAUUAAUUAAUUAAGGUCUUAAUGCCGAAUAUCGAAAAUCCGUGAAGAAUUUAAAAAUACGAUCCUCCCUUUUUGUUAAUGUUAAUUUUAUAAAAGAUGCUUGGAUAAAUCGAAGCGAAUGCUAAAGACCUUUUUGUCUUGGAAUAAUAAAAUGUCACACCCAAUACGUUAGGACACGACAUUUUAGUCCUCGAGAAUAAGCUUGUCUUUUGAUUUUCAAAGCUCGUGCGGUGAAGUUUAAAAAGGAUAUUCAAUUGCUUUAAUUUAGAUGAAAAAUCAGAGCCCAAUACGUUAGGGCACAAUUUCUCAAAAUUCCGAGCAUUGAAUAUUGCCCUUAUUAUUAUUAAUUUUUUAAAUCUUAAUCUCGAGAAAAUGACAUGUCAUAUCCAAUACGUUAGGACACGACGUAUCGAAUUCCCGAGAAUGAGCUUUUUAUUUAUGCUUUAAUUAAAAAAGGAUACCCGGUUUCUUAUUUGGGCUUAGGUCAAAGCUACUGCAUGAUUUUGCAACUGUCAUUGCUUACGACAUCAUUGAAUUUGCUUAAUCUGGUUUGUCUUCUUUUUGGCCAUAUUUUUCGACAGGUAAUGGUGGCUGCCCUAUAAGUCCAUCUGGAGGGUAUUUUGUAUUGUAAACAUCACUUCUCCCAGCUUUUCAAAGAGAAAGGAAGUAACAAUCAUCUUAUCAAGUCUGCGUCUGUUCCAGAAGCUUGAAUUCAAUUGUUCAUCAUGUAUUUACUUCUUGCCCUGUGCUGAUUUAUGCUUAUGGCUUAACAUUCAUCGGCGUAUAUGUUACAGUAUUUGAUUUAUCUAUGGGAUCAGAAAUGCAUUUCCCAAGCUUGUAAAAUGACACUUGCAAGCUGCAAUGCUAUAUUACCAUAUGUAGCUAUGUGAAUAUUUUCGUUUCUUUGAAGUCCCAUGAUCAUGUAAGCCGGCAUCUGAGUUCGAGUAACAUAGGCAAAUAAAAUUGUAAGCUUAUGAGAUUUCUUUUCAUUAAUUAAUCAACAAUAGAAAUUGUAACAACAGAUCGAUUGUGUACAAACACCAAUUUUAAAGCUUUUGCUUUCCAUGAAAGAAUAAAAAAAAACAUAAAAAACGAUAUUCCUCUACUACAACCCCCAAGCUGGGAAUGGUAGAGACCAAUCAGUCAUUUAUUGGAGUUUAUAAUUAAAAAAGGAUACGACGUUAGAACCUAGGGUUAGGUUUACUAUUUUUGGCUUCUGAAAAUGUUAGGGUUUAGGGAGUUGGGCUCAUUUGGGCUAGUGGGUUAGGUCUAGGGUCUGUUUAGGUGUAUUGGGCUCCAAGUUUUUUUUCUGAUUUGGGCUUGUAUUUAGGUUGUUUGGGUUUAAUUGGUUUAUUUGGUACGGGCCCGGGCAAAUUUGGGCUUCUACAUAUUAAUCUAAAUAGGUAAUAGAUAUAAAUUACGUAUUAUAAAAGAAAACUAUUUAAAAAGGGUAAAUUCUAUUGGAUUAACAUAAAAAUAUAAAAUAAUUCAUUAUGAAAUUAAAUAAUAAUAUAUGAUAAUAAUAUAAAAAAAAACUUAAAAUAAUAGUGCAUAAUAGAAUAAAAUAAUGAAUAUAAAAAGGUUAGAUAAAUUGAUAAAAAAAUAAUACUAAUAAUAAUAGUAGUAAUAAUAAUAAUAAUAAUAAUAAUAAUAAUAAUAGUAAUAAUGAUAAAUUAAUAUUAAAGUAAUUAAUUUGAUAGCAAAAAUAAUAAAAGAGAUUACUAAUUUGGAAUUAAAACAGAAAUUUAGGGGUAAGACGUGCAAUAAAAUGAAAUAAAAAGGACCUAAUUGAAAUUAAUUUAAAAUCAGACGUGACUAGCACAGAAAUUAAACGCACAAGUCUCACCUGGCAAUCUAGUAAGAUCAUCGGAAACGGCGUCGUUUCGAACGUUUGUCUCCUCAACUGACAGAAGGACGAAAUUGAAAGCAAGAUCGAAUUAUGUGGCAAAAUUAAAAAAGACAAAGAAGGAUUAAAAUGAAGUAAAUCUAAAAACGGAAGAACCAAACACGAAAAUAAGCCAUUGAAACAAAACACGCGGAUCCUCCCCGGGUCAAAUCGGAUCAUCGGGUCAACCAACACGGAGACGUUUUGAAGCCAUUAAAUCGGGCUUAAACGGCACCGUUUUAUUAUCGUUAAAAAACUAAAAAAAUAAAACCCUAAUAAGUUGUUUUGCAUUCCUAAAAAAGAUCAAGAGCCUAGCCUUUCUUCCCACCGGUCUCCAGUCACGAACCCAAUCUGACUCCGAUUCAGACGGAGCAAACCAGGUUCCAAUGGCGUCUGCUCUGGUAAGACGCUUCUUCUCUCCCUCUUUUUAUUUCGUUUGGUGCCAAAGAAGAAAACAAAGAAUCAAAGAAAUAAAAGAGAAAAAAAACGAAGAAAAUCACCUUUCGAAAAAACUUUCUGUUUUGAUUUUUUGUUUGUAUUCAAUAUGCGUAAAAAAGGGUUACAAUGGCCUUCUCCCUCUUUAUAGCCGAAUAUUCGAAAUAAAAUGAAAGAAAAUACAAAAAAUUCUCUCUGCUGCGUUGUUUUCGUCUUCUUUGCAGGUAAGGAGGCUAGCUGGCGUAAGGAGGUGGUGGAUGUGGCACAGCACACGCGGGGAAGGCCCUGGUGGCUGCGGCGCCGGAAGGAGGGCUGUUGCAGCUAGGGUUUUCUGAUUUUUUUUGUUUUGGGCUAGGGUUGUGUUGAUAGUUGUAUUGGGCUAGGUAUUUGGGCUGGGUGUAGUUGGACUAGAUGCAUCUGACUUUGGGUUUGUACCGGGUCACUGUAAAUGGGUUUGGUUUUUUAUUGUUAUUGGGCUGUGAACUAUUUGAGUUUUAAUUAAUUUUUAUUUAUUUGGUUUUUUAUUGUGGGCUGGGCAAAUUGGGUAUUACAAUCAGCUAAUUAGGAAAGACUGUGAUGAUAGUCACACCUUUCGUCCAAAAGCAAAGCUUUUUUUACAUGUGUAUGUAAGGUUGCUAAGCAAAUCGGGUGAGCCUUCACUACUGUUUUAAGGUUAAGUUAAUGUUCCUUUUCGGCAAAGAACAUUAUCGAGAUCACGGUAUUUUGAUCGCCUUUUGCUUCUUGUUAUUCGUUCUGAGACGAUUGCAUAAUCUUUACUGUGAUUGCAGGAUAUAGAGCAACUUUUGAAUUUCAUCGCUGUAAAGAGUUUAGGACCACGACAUGUUCUUGCAAAUUUGAAGAAGCUUCUAAGGUCUGUCCAGUCUUCAGAAUAUAUAGAUACCUGAAUUAAUUUUGAUUUUGUAGGAUCAACUAUAAUUAGCUACUUAUUACACUAUGAAUAGACAACCUCACCUUCUUCACACACUACACGUGCGGAUUUUUUACCAAUCCCAUUUCAAAGGAUCACACUUUUUUGUUGUUUACAGAAUCAUAAUUAAUGUUAAUUAAAGUGGAAUAUUUCAGAUUUCUGAUGAUGAGCAUAUUCUUGAGUAUUGCAGUAAAAAAAUGGGUGGGGAACUUAUUUGAACUUUGAAUGUAUGUUUUGUUGGUGAGAAUAUAAAGUUGAUAAAGAUUUGGUAAAUAGAAUAAAAUAUUAUUUUUUAUUAGAAAAAUUAUUUGGUAGACUGCCAAUCGAGUUAUAAUUAUCAUGACGCAAUAUUAAGGGUAAGUAAAACAUGUCAUAUUACAAAUAAUAAAAUUAUAAUGACUCAAAUAUACGAACAUGUCAAAAUUUAUGUACAACGAAUUAUUAACAUGUCAAUGUAUAAUAUGGUACGCAAAAAUAAGAUAAUUGCUUGUUUUUUAAUUGAAUUGUUAUAACACAUUAUACAAAUACAUUGUGAAUUAAAGCAUAAUAUGAACAUGAUAUCAAUAUAUUAAAUUUUUUAAAAAUUCGAUGAUACGAAUAAUUAUGUAAAAUAUCACAUGAUACAAAAUGACUUGAGAGGAAAAGAGGAACAAAGACUUGCAUUGUUUGUGAGGUUUUAAAAUAUUCCAGUUUUAGAUUCAAUUUUUUAGUAUGUUUGGUUUAAUUUUACAUUAGAUUUCCUUUUCGGUAUGCAUUAGUGAACUCUUGGCAGUCAAUUUAAUUUAAUUCAAAGAGAUAUUGCAUAUACAUAAUAAAUUUCGUAGAAGAAAAAAGAAAUAGAUGGUUGGAAAUGAUAAAACCAUAAGAUAAAAGAGCCUUUAUUCAAAAUGCAAAAAUCAACAAAAUAUUCAUUAUCGCUCAACUUAGCAUAAUUAAACAUUUAGGUGUGGAAAUCAAAUCACAAUUUGAGUAGCUAAACACAUUGCUUGAAAAUGUGAUAAGUAAGAAAAUUGCCCACAUUUGAGUAGCGACAGGUGGUAAUGCAUUUCCCAACAAGAGAAAACCAAGCUCUUCGCCAGUGUGGAUUUAUGUAGAGGACAACAAAAAUUGUCAACAACACAACUACAUAAGAAACCAAAAAGCUCACACAAAAAUCAUAAGUAUCUAUCAAACCAUCUUCUCCUUUAUCUUCUGAUACAGUUGAUAUCGUUGAUGGUGAAUCGGUUUUGGAACAACUUUUAUGCAAUAUAACUCCACAAAGAAACGGAUUUCCCUGAUAACUAUUUUCAAUAAAGGUCCCAAAUUGAGCUUUUGGUUCGGGAAUACUACCUGACAAGUUGUUAAAUGCCACGCUGAAAACCUCCAAAAAGUUUAACUCUACCAAUUGAUUGGGAUUUCACCACUUAAGUUGUUGUAAGAAAGGUCCAAACUCUCAAUUUGAUGUAGUUUUGAGAGUGACGAGGGUAUAACUCCGGUCAACUUAUUGUGUGAAAGGUUUAAAGAAUGGAUUUCACUCAAGUUCCCUAAUUCUGGUGGGAUAUGACCAGUUAAGUUGUUGCGAGAUAAAUCAAUCCCAGUCAUAUAUGAAAGGAUGUCGCCCUUGUAUGAAUAGAACCCACUCUUUGUUGUGAACUCUAUUACUUCUUCGAAGUAGCUACCAGGAUAGUAAGAAUCCAUUCCCAAAUUUAGUAUAUACUGCGUGUUGUUUCAUCCUCUUCCUAUAGAUGGCCCAUAGAACCCAGUUUCUAGAAAUCUUCUUCGUUUGCAUUGGAAGAGAUAAAUUUCCCAAACAAGAAGGUAUAGGACCAGAAAACAUAUUUUGAGAAAGAUCUAUGAUGCUUAAAGAAUGCAACUUGCAUAACUCAAUAGGAACUUUACCAUGAAAUGAUUAUCUUUCAAGAGAAGAACACUCAAAGAAGAAAGCGUGUAAAUCCAUUUUGGAAUACUACCUGUUCAAAUUGUUUCCUCUAAGAUCUAAAGUCACUAUUGAAGAGCUAUUAUAAAAAGCAAGUGAUAGUGGGCCUCUCAGUCUAUUCCCGUGGAGGUGGACAUGCUCUAUGUAUGGUGGAUUAAAACAUGACGGUAUAGAGCCAGAUAAAUUAUUUGAGAAAGAUCCAAAAAUUCCAAGCUAUUCAACUUGCAAAAUUCCAUUGGAAUAGAACCCUCAAAACUAUUGUUGGACAUAGCUAAUCUCCCCAAAAACGAUGCAUUCCCUAUCCAUCUUGGGAGCUUUCCAUGCAACUUGUUGUUACUGAGAUCAAUUUCCUGUAGUGAAUUUGGAAACUCAAAAGUAGACACAUCAACAUUUGUCAUCUCUCCUGAAAAAUUAUUUCCAUCCAAAUAUAAAUGCUGCACCCAAUUUGCGCUGAGAAUCACAGGAACUACAUUUCCACUGAGGUUGUUAUUUGAUAGUCUCAAAAUGGUCAGUGAGCCUUUCGCGAUCAACUCUUCUGGUACUUUUCCAUACAAUUGAUUGUUUGAUAGAUCUAAAGUGAUAAGUCCUUCAUGCCACUUAAACAAAGUGGGAUAUACCUUCAAAAGCAUUCUUGGAUAAGAAUAACCGCCUCAAAUGUGGAAAAGUUGAACAUAUACCAGUCGGAAUUUGACCUUGUAAUUUGUUU